CGUUUGAUUUCUGAGGGGGGUCAUCUCUAGUACGAGAGGACCGAGAUGAGCCAGCCUCUAGUGUGCCAGUUGUCACAUCAGUGGCAUUGCUGGGUAGCUACGCUGGUAACUGAGAAGCGCUGAAAGCAUCUAAGCGCCAAGCAGGCCCCAAGACUAGAAAUCUUAGAUCCCUUGUAGACUACGAGGUUGAUAGGCGGCGAGUGUAAAGGCAGUAAUGUUUGUGCAGGAUUUAACCUGCGGUUAAAUCA
rnacentral:ncRNA from 1 species